UUGAGCACUUCGAGCACUGACUUUCAGUGUUCGAAGUGCGCCACUGAAAAAACCAGCAGAAUUCAGUGCACUGAAAGUACCCGGAUGGUGCACUGCAAACGGGCAAAAAAUGUAGUGUAAAACGAUGGACACUACUCGCCCUAAACGGCCGCCAUCUUGGCGACGUAGCGGAAGAGGAGGAGCCCUUUCACCAGCUUUUCAUUUUAUUUCUAAAACAAUGGCGGACAGCACAAGCGGUAGACCACGAAGCUACAGACCGUAAAUAGACGUUUCCUGGAGGUGCUGGUGCUGGUCCUCUGCUGCCCUCCCGACAUCUGGCUCCAAUGACCUCUGGCACCUCACAUCCACCUCCAGGGCCUUUAAGAAGAUGGACCGCCAUCGCGUCUUCAGUAUCCCGAAGGACCUCUCCACAACACACCUCGCCUUUGACAGGCAGCAGUUGUAGCGUGCUUGGAGGUGGUUGUGGACAGGCUGCCUGAAGGGGGUCAUGAGGCAGAUGGGUUGGGACAGGCAGGGGUAGCCACCAUCCCCAAGGAUACAGUAUCCUGGUGGAGGGUAUGACUGCUCAUAGAAGAUGGGGCUGUUAUUCAGGACCCUGGCAUCAUGCACUGAGCCCGGGGCCUGUCGAAGGCCCUGGCCACCACCCGAUAGGAGGUGGCGCUGGCAAGCCAAAAAAUAAAAACUAGACGGGAGAUCUCGGGGCCCCAACCGUGGUCAGUCAGUGCCCAGCACAGCCAUGAGGGCGUUAAAUGACUCUCGGGUGAGCCUGAAGUCCACCCUCCUGUCACUGUGGCCAUCACAAUACAACGCCAGCAGUGGCAUUGCAACAUUGAUACGGCAGCGCCGCCUGGGACUGGGUGGCUGCUGUAGAGUGUGUGGGGAGGGGAGGGGAAGGGAAGAUUAUACUAAAAUGUAAGUCAUUUUAUCAAUAAAAUGUUGUCAUUGA